rnacentral:rRNA from 1 species
UACGGAAGGCAGCAGUGGGGAAUAUUGCACAAUGGGCGAAAGCCUGAUGCAGCUAUGCCGCGUGUAUGAAGAAGGCCUUAGGGUUGUAAAGUACUUUCAUCGGGGAGGAAAAACAAAACUAAUAAUUUUAUUUCUUGACGUUACCCGAAAAAGAAGCACCGGCUAACUCCGUGCCAGCAGCCGCGGUAAUACGGAGGGUGCUAGCGUUAAUCAGAAUUACUGGGCGUAAAGAGCACGUAGGUGGUUUUUUUAAGUCAGAUGUGAAAUCCCUGGGCUUAACCUAGGAACUGCAUUUUGAAACUGAAAUACUAGAGUAUCGUAGAGGGAGGUAGAAUUCUAGGUGUAGCGGUGAAAUGCGUAGAUAUCUGGAGGAAUACCUGUGGCGAAAGCGGCCUCCUAAACGAAUACUGACACUGAGGGUGCGAAAGCGUGGGGAGCAAACAGGGAUAGAUACC